rnacentral:rRNA from 1 species
AGUGAACGCUGGCGGUAGGCCUAACACAUGCCAGUCGAACGGCAGCACAGGAGAGCUUGCUCUCUAGGUGGCGAGUGGCGGACGGGUGAGGAAUACAUCGGAAUCUGCCCAGUCGUGGGGGAUAACGUAGGGAAACUUACGCUAAUACCGCAUACGACCUUCGGGUGAAAGAGGGGGAUCGCAAGACCUCUCGCGAUUGGAUGAGCCGAUGUCGGAUUAGCUAGUUAGCGGGGUAAUGGCCCACCAAGGCGACGAUCCGUAGCUGGUCUGAGAGGAUGAUCAGCCACACUGGAACUGAGACACGGUCCAGACUCCUACGGGAGGCAGCAGUGGGGAAUAUUGGACAAUGGGCGCAAGCCUGAUCCAGCCAUACCGCGUGGGUGAAGAAGGCCUUCGGGUUGUAAAGCCCUUUUGUUGGGAAAGAAAUCUUUCAGGCUAAUACCCUGGGAGGAUGACGGUACCCAAAGAAUAAGCACCGGCUAACUUCGUG